ACGGAAGGUGCAAGCGUUAGUCGGAAUUACUGGGCGUAAAGGGUGCGUAGGCGGUGAUAUAAGUCGGACGUGAAAUUCCGGGGCUUAACCUCGGAGCUGCGUUUGAUACUGUAUUGCUAGAGGAAUGGCGGAGAAAAUGGAAUUCCAUAUGUAGCGGUGAAAUGCGUAGAUAUAUGGAAGAACACCUGUGGCGAAAGCGGUUUUCUAGCCUACUCCUGACGCUGAGGCACGAAAGCAAGGGGAGCAAACAG
rnacentral:rRNA from 1 species